rnacentral:lncRNA from 1 species
CUGAAUAUAACUUUCACAAUUUCCUAUUCAUGAAACAAGUGUUGUGUCACUUAUUGAAUAGUUUCACAAAGAGCAUUAUUGGCUAUUUUCUGAAAAAAAAAUCAGAGAAGCCGGGCGUGGUGGCACAUGCUUGUGAUCCCAGCACGCAGGAGGCAGAGGCAGGAGGAUCUCUGUGAGUUUGAGGCCAGCCUGGGGUACAUAGUGAGUUCACUGCCAGCCUAAACUACAAAGCGAGACCCUGUCUCAAAAAAAAAAAAAAAUCAGGGAGGAAACAAGUGAAUAAAUGAAAACAAAAAAAAAAAGCAACUGUGAUGUUUGUGGCAAUGACUGGAAGUGCUGGGAUGCUCUGAUGAUAGAUAAGGAGACUCAUGUUGUGCUUUAUUUUUAAUUAGAUUGGCACAGCAGAGCUAACUUAUUUUCGUUGCUAUUUUGCUGCAGAUUAAGAGCUAAAACAACUUACCCUACUUCAGGAAAGAGAGAAGGGUCAGAAUCUGAUGCUCCACUUCAGAGAUAGGGGUCAUAUUCACUGAGCAUUCUUGAAAACUUCAGAGCGUUCAGAGAGAGACUUCUGAAAACAGCACCUAUGAGGAAAGUCUUAUACAGCUAUUAACCACAUCAGUCUCUCUCAUCAGAAACUUCCAGACUAGGAGAGAGCGGAAUGAUACAUCUGAACGUGUUGGAAGAAAAAAACCCUGCCAACCAGGAACGCUUUACCUAAAAAUAGUCCUUCAAAACUGAAGGAGAUGAUGUUUUCUCCAGUGCCUGGACAGGAGUGCUGAGAGUGGACAACCUUGUUUCAUUCCUGACUUUAGAGGCAGUGCUUUCUGUUUUUCCCAUUUGAUGUAUUGUCUGUGGGUUUCUAUAUAUAUACAGACUUCAUUAUUUUGAGGUAAAACUCUUCUGUAACCUGUUUCUUCAGGACUGUUAUCAUGAAGGAAUGUUGAAUUUUCUUAAACGAUUUUGAUGCAUCAAUUGAGGUGGUCAUUUUUUUCUUGAUUCUGUUUAUAUUGUGUAUUACAUUUCUUGAUUUGCAUAUGUUGGACCAAUCUUUUAUUCCUGGAAUGAAACCAAUUUCAUGGUAACACAUGAUCUUUUCAAUGAGCUUAAUGAAUCCUAUUUGUAAGAUUUUAUUGAAAAUUUUUCCAUCUGUGUUCAUCUAGGAUAUUGACCUAUAGUUUUAUCUUGAAUUUUUAUCUGUUUUUGGUAUCAGGGUAAUACUUGUUUCCUUCUCUGUUCCCUGGAAUGAUUUGAGGAGAAUUGGUGUUAGUCUUCUUUAAAUGUCUGCCAAAUUACAGCAGCAAAUCACCCAGUCCUGGCCUCUUCUUAU